rnacentral:rRNA from 1 species
UACGGAGGGGGCUAGCGUUGUUCGGAAUUACUGGGCGUAAAGCGCACGUAGGCGGCUUUGCAAGUUAGAGGUGAAAGCCCGGGGCUCAACCCCGGAACUGCCUUUAAGACUGCAUCGCUUGAAUCCAGGAGAGGUGAGUGGAAUUCCGAGUGUAGAGGUGAAAUUCGUAGAUAUUCGGAAGAACACCAGUGGCGAAGGCGGCCCACUGGACGUGUAUUGACGCUGAGGUGCGAAAGCGUGGGGAGCAAACAGG